rnacentral:rRNA from 1 species
GACGUAGGGUGCGAGCGUUGUCCGGAUUUAUUGGGCGUAAAGAGCUCGUAGGCGGCUCGUCGCGUCGGUUGUGAAAACUCUAGGCUUAACCUGGAGCUUGCAACCGAUACGGGCGGGCUAGAGUUCGGUAGGGGAGACUGGAAUUCCUGGUGUAGCGGUGAAAUGCGCAGAUAUCAGGAGGAACACCGGUGGCGAAGGCGGGUCUCUGGGCCGAUACUGACGCUGAGGAGCGAAAGCGUGGGGAGCAAACAGG